rnacentral:rRNA from 1 species
UUGGGUUAAGUCCCGCAACGAGCGCAACCCACGUUUUUAGUUGCCAGCAUUGAGUUGGGCACUCUAGAGAGACUGCCGGUGACAAACCGGAGGAAGGUGUGGAUGACGUCAAGUCAGCAUGCCCCUUACGUUCUGGGCUACACACGUACUACAAUGCUUCGGACAAAGGGCAGCGAGCGCGCGAGUGCAAGCCAAUCCCAUAAACCGAGGCUCAGUUCAGAUUGCAGGCUGCAACUCGCCUGCAUGAAGGCGGAAUCGCUAGUAAUCGCAGGUCAGCAUACUGCGGUGAAUACGUUCCCGGGCCUUGUACACACCGCCCGUCACACCAUGGGAGUUGGCCACGCCCGAAGUCGUUACUCCAACCGUUCGCGGAGGAGGAUGCCGAAGGCAGGGCUGAUGACUGGGGUGUAAGUCGUACAAGGUAACCAA